GAUGAACGCUGGCGGCGUGCCUAAUACAUGCAAGUCGAACGAAACUUCUUUAUCACCGAGUGCUUGCACUCACCGAUAAAGAGUUGAGUGGCGAACGGGUGAGUAACACGUGGGCAACCUGCCCAAAAGAGGGGGAUAACACUUGGAAACAGGUGCUAAUACCGCAUAACCAUAGUUACCGCAUGGUAACUAUGUAAAAGGUGGCUAUACUACCGCUUUUGGAUGGGCCCGCGGCGCAUUAGCUAGUUGGUAGGGUAAAGGCUUACCAAGGCAAUGAUGCGUAGCCGAAUUGAGAGGUUGAUCGGCCACAUUGGGACUGAGACACGGCCCAAACUCCUACGGGAGGCAGCAGUAGGGAAUCUUCCACAAUGGGCGAAAGCCUGAUGGAGCAACGCCGCGUGGGUGAAGAAGGUCUUCGGAUCGUAAAACCCUGUUGUUAGAGAAGAUAGUGCGUGAGAGUAACUGUUCACGUUUCGACGGUAUCUAACCAGAAAGCCACGGCUAACUACGUG
rnacentral:rRNA from 1 species